rnacentral:tRNA from 1 species
UCCUUGGUGGUCUAGUGGUUAAGACUCCACACUUGCACUGCAGCGUGUGUGGGUUCAAUCCCUGUUUGGGGAA